rnacentral:rRNA from 1 species
UACAGAGGGGGCGAGCGUUGUUCGGAAUUACUGGGCGUAAAGGGCGCGUAGGUGGCCUGCUAUGUCGAACGUGAAAUCCCCGGGCUCAACCCGGGAACUGCGUCCGAAACUGGCAGGCUCGAAUCCGGGAGAGGGAUGUGGAAUUCCUAGUGUAGAGGUGAAAUUCGUAGAUAUUAGGAAGAACACCAGUGGCGAAGGCGGCUCACUGGUCCGGUACUGACGCUGAGGUGCGAAAGCGUGGGGAGCAAACAGG